CAACUUUCAGCAACGGAUCUCUUGGCUCUCGCAUCGAUGAAGAACGCAGCGAAAUGCGAUAAGUAAUGUGAAUUGCAGAAUUCAGUGAAUCAUCGAAUCUUUGAACGCACCUUGCGCCCCUUGGCUAUUCCGAAGGGCAUGCCUGUUUGAGUAUCAU
rnacentral:rRNA from 4 species